AGGGCCGGCAUGCCUAAUCCCGGGCGAAGCGCCCGGGAGCCGGGGAACCACCGCACCUGGGGUGAACCACGUUCCGUGGAAGGGCGUCCUCCCGCCCGAACCCGUCAGCUAACCCGGUCGGCCGAAGGAGAGGAGAG
rnacentral:sRNA from 1 species